rnacentral:piRNA from 1 species
UUACCUGCCUGAUGUGAACAAUAAAA